AAUCCCCUCCACGCCACCUUUGAACACUCUCCUACACCCCUUCAAAUUUUUCCAGCAACAUAGCAAGUUUGAGAGGAAGAGAGCUGAGGUUUUAAGAGCUGAAUUCUCAAAGCAGCCGCAGCUUCAAGAGGGACGUCUUCGUACGUCGUCUAAGGCCAAGUUAAAGAAAUUUACGGAAAGGGAUUUAGCUUUUGAGGUUGAACGUAGACGAGAAGGCGAAGGUGUUGAGAACGAUCAUCCAAUAAGUAGUUAGAUAGCCCAAAGUAGUAUGUUUUCAUACAUACUACUUUGUCUUGGACUUUUUCCGCUGCAUUAGGAUUUUGUACUAGGAGUCUAUGAACCUAGACCGCACUCUGACUUUCUUUUGACUAUGUACCCAUUCGCCUUCAAAACUAUUUCCUCGAGUUGAAUUGUUUCUUGUAUGCUUAAUUUAUGAUUGAUGAGCUUAUAUUA